rnacentral:rRNA from 1 species
CCCUUAGAUGUUCUGAGCCGCACGCGCGCUACACUGAUGCAUUCAACGAGUUUCUUCCUGGUCCGAGAGGAAUGGGUAACCUUUUGAAAGUGCAUCGUGAUAGGGAUAGACUAUUGCAAUUAUUGGUCUCCAACGAGGAAUUCCUAGUAGACGUAGUUCAUCAGACUGCAUCGAUUACGUCCCUGCCCUUUGUACACACCGCCCGUCGCUCCUACCGAUUGAAUGCUCAGGUGAGCCAUUCGGACUUUCAUCAUGCUGGUUUCCAGUUUUGAUGAAGGAAAGUCUUGCGAACCUUAUCAUUUAGAGGAAGGAGAAGUCGUAACA